GAUGAAGAACGCAGCGAAAUGCGAUAAGUAAUGUGAAUUGCAGAAUUCAGUGAAUCAUCGAAUCUUUGAACGCACAUUGCGCCCGCCAUUAUUCUGGCGGGCAUGCCUGUUCGAGCGUCAUUUCAACCAUCAAGCCCCCGGCUUGUGUUGGGGACCUGCGGCUGCCGCAGGCCCUGAAAUGCAGUGGCGGGCUCGCUGUCACUCCGAGCGUAGUAGUUACAUCUCGCUCUGGGCGUGCUGCGGGUUCCGGCCGUUAAAAGCCUUAUUUACCCAAGGUUGACCUCGGAUCAGGUAGGAAGACCCGCUGAACUUAAGCAUAUCAAUAAGCGGAGGA
rnacentral:misc_RNA from 1 species